UACGGAGGGUGCGAGCGUUGUCCGGAAUCAUUGGGCGUAAAGGGCGCGUAGGUGGCCCGGUCAGUUCGUGGUGAAAGCGCGGGGCUCAACCCUGCGUCGGCCAUGAAUACUGCCGCGGCUGGAGCACUGUAGAGGCAGGCGGAAUUCCGGGUGUAGCGGUGGGAAUGCGUAGAGAUCCGGAAGAACACCGGUGGCGAAGGCGGCCUGCUGGGCAGUUGCUGACACUGAGGCGCGACAGCGUGGGGAGCAAACAGGGAUAGAAACCCUGUA
rnacentral:rRNA from 1 species